rnacentral:rRNA from 1 species
AGAGUUUGAUCCUGGCUCAGAAUCAACGCUGGCGGCGCGCCUAACACAUGCAAGUCGAACGAGAAAGGGGAGCAAUCCCUGAGUAAAGUGGCGUACGGGUGAGUAACACGUGGAUGAUCUACCCCUUAGUUUGGAAUAACCAUGGGAAACCGUGGCUAAUACCGGAUAAGCUCGAGAGAGGAAAGCGGCUUUGUGCAAACAAAGCGGCGCUGAGGGAGGAGUCCGCGGCCGAUUAGCUAGUUGGCAGGGUAAAAGCCUACCAAGGCAAAGAUCGGUAGCCGGCCUGAGAGGGCACACGGCCACACUGGCACUGAAACACGGGCCAGACUCCUACGGGAGGCAGCAGUGGGGAAUCUUGCACAAUGGGGGAAACCCUGAUGCAGCGACGCCGCGUGAACGAUGAAGCCCCUCGGGGUGUAAAGUUCUUUCGGCAGGGAAGAUGGUGACGGUACCUGCAGAAGCAGCUGCGGCUAACUACGUGCCAGCAGCCGCGGUAAUACGUAGGCAGCAAGCGUUGUUCGGAGUUACUGGGCAUAAAGGGUGUGUGGGCGGUUUUUUAAGUUUGGUGUGAAAUCUCCCGGCUCAACUGGGAGGGUGCGCCGAAUACUGAAAGACUAGAGUGCGGGAGAGGAAAGUGGAAUUCCUGGUGUAGCGGUGAAAUGCGUAGAUAUCAGGAGGAACACCGGUGGUGUAGACGGCUUUCUGGACCGUAACUGACGCUGAGACACGAAAGCGUGGGUAGCAAACAGGAUUAGAUACCCUGGUAGUCCACGCCCUAAACGAUGCAUAUUUGGUGU